rnacentral:rRNA from 1 species
GUCUACGGCCAUGCCACAAUGAACAAGCCCAAUGUCUGAUCUCGGAAGCUAAGCAGGGUUGGGCCUGGUUAGCACUUGAAUGGGAGAUCACUUAGGGAGACCAGGUGCCGUAGGCA